rnacentral:rRNA from 1 species
UACGGGGGGGGCAAGCGUUGUUCGGAAUUACUGGGCGUAAAGGGCUCGUAGGUGGCCAACUAAGUCAGACGUGAAAUCCCUCGGCUUAACCGGGGAACUGCGUCUGAUACUGGAUGGCUUGAGUUCGGGAGAGGGAUGCGGAAUUCCAGGUGUAGCGGUGAAAUGCGUAGAUAUCGGGAGGAACACCUGAGGCGAAGGCGGGCUACUGGGCUGAUACUGACGCUGAUGCGCGAAAGCCAGGGGAGCGAACGGG